UACGAAGGGGGCUAGCGUUGCUCGGAAUCACUGGGCGUAAAGGGUGCGUAGGCGGGUUUUUAAGUCAGGGGUGAAAUCCUGGAGCUCAACUCCAGAACUGCCUUUGAUACUGAAGAUCUUGAGUCCGGGAGAGGUGGGUGGAACUGCGAGUGUAGAGGUGAAAUUCGUAGAUAUUCGCAAGAACACCAGUGGCGAAGGCGGCUCACUGGCCCGAUACUGACGCUGAGGCACGAAAGCGUGGGGAGCAAACAGG
rnacentral:rRNA from 1 species